GACGAACGCUGGCGGCGUGCUUAACACAUGCAAGUCGAACGGAGCACCCCUGAAGGAGUUUUCGGACAACGGAUGGGAAUGCUUAGUGGCGGACUGGUGAGUAACGCGUGAGGAACCUACCUUCCAGAGGGGGACAACAGUUGGAAACGACUGCUAAUACCGCAUAACGUGCAGCCGGGGCAUCCCGGAGGCACCAAAGAUUUUAUCGCUGGAAGAUGGCCUCGCGUCUGAUUAGCUAGUUGGUGGGGUAACGGCCCACCAAGGCGACGAUCAGUAGCCGGACUGAGAGGUUGGCCGGCCACAUUGGGACUGAGAUACGGCCCAG
rnacentral:rRNA from 1 species